UUGGGACACCUGCAAUGUUCCACAUUCCUCGACGAAGAAUCUUUUCUCUAGCUUUCAGACUUGAAACCUUGAAUCUCAUCGUAGUAGGAUUGACUUCAUAGACAUCCAUCCUUGUUGACGGAUCACCAUACUUCCAUAUCCUGUUAAGAACCAUGUUAACCUUUGCAACAUGAGGAGCCAGAUCUAGGAAUUUGCCAACUACAAAAUCAUCCCAAAGCGGGGUGGAAUUAUCCGAAACCUCAUCUGGAAUCUCAACCGUAUGAACUCCAUCCUUAUGCAGUAUCUCCACAUCAUACUUCCUCAACACUUUCUUUUCCUGAGCCACCUUAACCCACGAAACCUCCUUUGAAUCUUUCGAUUCGACAGAUGUUACCCCUGCUUCCUCAGAACCAUUCGCUGACUCAAUAACCUUCAAUUGAUCCACCUCUGAGCCCC
rnacentral:lncRNA from 1 species